AUUUGACGUUAGCGACAGAAGAAGCACCGGCUAACUCCGUGCCAGCAGCCGCGGUAAUACGGAGGGUGCGAGCGUUAAUCGGAAUUACUGGGCGUAAAGCGCAUGCAGGUGGUUUGUUAAGUUCAGAUGUGAAAGACCCGGGGCGUCAACCUCGGAAUAGCAUUUGAAACUAGGCAGACUAGAGUACUGUAGAGGGGGGUAGGAAUUUCAGGUGUAGCGGUGAAAUGCGUAGAGAUCUGAAGGAAUACCGGUGGCGAAGGCGGCCCCCUCGGACAGAUACUGACACUCAGAUGCGAAAGCGUGGGGAGCAAACAGGAUUAGAUACCCCUGGUAG
rnacentral:rRNA from 1 species